AUUGAACGCUGGCGGCAUGCUUUACACAUGCAAGUCGAACGGCAGCGCGGGCUUCGGCCUGGCGGCGAGUGGCGAACGGGUGCGUAAUGCAUCGGAACGUGCCCAUCAGUGGGGGAUAGCCGGGCGAAAGCCGGAUUAAUACCGCAUACGCCCUGAGGGUGAAAGCGGGGGACCGAAAGGUCUCGCGCUAUUGGAGCGGCCGAUGUCGGAUUAGCUAGUUGGUGGGGUGAAGGCUUACCAAGGCGACGAUCCGUAGCUGGUCUGAGAGGACGACCAGCCACACUGGAACUGAGACACGGCCCAGACUCCUACGGGAGGCAGCAGUGGGGAAUUUUGGACAAUGGGGGCAACCCUGAUCCAGCCAUGCCGCGUGCGGGAAGAAGGCCUUCGGGUUGUAAACCGCUUUUGUUCGGGAAGAAAUCCUCUGGGCUAAUACCCCGGGGGGAUGACGGUACCGGAAGAAUAAGCACCGGCUAACUACGUG
rnacentral:rRNA from 1 species